CAGGGAAUGAGGAGCAGAGAGUGGAAGAAGGUGGAGGAGGUGUUUUGUGGUGGCUCUGGGAUGCUUUCCUUGGCUCUUCUCCAGAGGAGCCCAUGGUUUUCACUCCAGAGGAGUUGGGUGUCGCCUCUGAACGAGGGACUGAACAGGCUGAGGAAGCUGCAGAGGCUGUUGAGGUCCCCACUGACACUCCAGGAGCAAGUUCAUCAGAAGCUUUAUCAAAACCUGUGGGCACAGUCAGAACUCAGUCCCUGCCUGAGAGCAUGGUAAACACAACCGCCACUGUAAAAGUCUCCAAACCCGAGUCCCCGCAGAAAUGUGUAGUCUCCUAGAUCUAGAACUUGUUUGUCUGGAUACUUUUCGCUUCUUCUUGAUCACAGCAUCCAACCUCCAGCUUCUGCUAGAGCCAUGUCUAGAAAGGCCCAGACUUAGAGGCAAGCCUAGACAGCAAUUCUUUUAGUGUGAGCUUAAGACUUAUUAUUGUUUUCUAGAGCCUUACCCAGGACUCUCAUUUAAUGCAAUUUUUUUUUCCUUACCAAACUGUGGAAUUCUUACUUCAGGCUUGAGGCCUGAUCUACAGCAUCAGAUACGUCCACAACCUUUUCUGGAUCUUACCGCUUCCUUUGCAUCCAGACAUAAAAAGCCAAUUCUAGAAACAAGGCUUCUUUAAGAUCGAGGUCAACAUUGCCCUAGACUAAAGUUUAUGACCCUUCCUCUAGAGCUCUUUAUGCGUUAUCAAGCCAGCUAAGGAGGUUUGGACUUUUUUCUAGAGGUAAUGCAAUUCAAUACAACUGAACCGUACAACCCCAGUCUUCCAGACCCAAACCCCAGAACAAGAAUUUCAACAAUGGCUUGUUCUAGAACAGACAAAGUUUUUCAGAUUCAAUCCAAAUCUCUUCUAGAAUCAAGUCAUACUUUCCACCCUUUUCUGGAAUCUUGUAGAACAAAACCUGAAGCUUACUUUAAAUCUUUCCUGAAUCUUUUGAAUAACAGCUAAACUUGGAACACCCUUUUUUCCUCUAGAGACAAAUCUAGAACACCAGUUACAACCUGUUCUAGAACUACCUUUUUUUUCUAGAACGAACAGUUUUUCUAGACUUAACCAAAGAACUCGUGCUUUGGAAUCCAGUCUAAAUGUCGUUGCUUCUUUAGAAUCUUGUGGAACAAGAGGCGAAACUUGCUGACACCUUUUCUAGAGCUUUUGUUUUUUUUUCUACAAACUCUUUGCUUUAUUUAGAACUAAACCUAGAACCCUCCUCUCCCUAGAACCCAUAAACACUGUAUUAUCAAACCUAGACCCCCCUAGUUUUAAACCCUCUAGUCUUCUAGAAAUGUCUCACUUCCAGUCCUCAGUGCAUUUACAUGGCAGGAAUUUCCAGAUAUUGGCUUCUGACAGUUUAGAGCUGUGGACAUUAUGUUUACAUUGGACGUCUGGUUUUGAAUCAGUGUUUUUGUUGAAUGAUGGAGAGUAAAGUAGACGAUGAGGACUGAGUAAUUAAAUCAGAUCAGAUGUGUGCCAAAUAUGUUCUUUUUACAAGUAUUUGUGUUUACAUGAAGGACUACUGAGCCCGCCUAUCCUCAGUGAAAUUCUGCUCAGUCAUUGACAAGUACUCACCACUGAGAUGUGGUUUGACAUGACUCAGCACAUUUUAUGCAACUAUGUGAGAAGUGGUUGGCAGGGUGAUGGGUACUAUUUUACCAGACUUUGUGAGCAGACUGAUAGUAUUUAGCAUGUGAGGUGGAUGGUUUUUAGCAAUCUGCUCUGAAAUAAGCUUUUGCAUGGACCUCUGAAUCUGAUGGGUUAAUAUGUUUUUAUAAAAGGCAGACAGAAAUGUACUAAUAGGCUUAUUUUUGCUGAACCAUGUUUUUAUGUAUCAUAUAUGAAAUAGUGAUUUGAAAGUGAAUCUUUUCUCAUGUAUUAUCCGAGCGCAACAUAAACAGAGUAUAUCUGUUCAGUUAAACUCCUGUGUGCUUGCUUGUAUGCAUCGACAACUUGUAUAUCCAUAACUGCUGAAUAUGAUAAUUGAUUGUUGGAGAUUUUAUAAUUGAGAAAAUGACCUUCAUUAAGAUGACUGUUGACCAUGAAAAUGCACUGGUUUGACAUGAUUACUGAUUAACACACUGCUGUGGGCAGGGGGAAACCAUGUAACUCCAAUUUUAGUAUUAGAUUAGUAUUGAUUGAUGAAUUGUAAGGAUUGUGUUUAGCUCAUCAAAAAUUAUGUUACUUGCUUUAAUGCAAAUUUCUUGAAAACUCAUUUAUGACUAAAGCACUUCAUCUAUAUCAGUAACAGAACCCUUGAAGCUGUCAAUUUGGAGAUUCAAGGUUUUCACCUGAAGCAGCAGUACUGAGAUGUCUUACAUUACAUGGCAUGUUGCUGUACUUGUACCUUGUUCCACUUGUUUCCCCUUUCAUGCUGUCUACAUAUCCAAACAAAAGCACAAAGACAAAUAAAGACACAACAGUGAUCCACUC